UCAACAUGUCUAUGUAAUUUCAGAGAUUUACCCUGAGGUUUCUAACACUGAAAAUUUCAGUCCAUCACAGUUCACAGUAGCUUCAAACCUAUUCUAUUUGAUUGAUUCUAAUUUCCAGUAGAGGUAGUUCCUCUAGAAUUGUAACACCUGACAUAGAAAUGUGAGAAAAUUAGUCACCAUUACAAUGUUGCUGUUCUGAAAUAACAAAAUGCAGGAUAAUUUUCAUAUUUAUCCUUGUUACCUUUGCUCUUGUUCUGAUCAAACGCUCCAGUCGAAGAUUUAAUCAACCCAAUUCCAAGUUGUUUGCACUGAGCUCCAGGAUCAUCUGAUAACUAAAGAUGUUAUCAAGAAGCUUGCAGACUGCAACAUGGUUUUAAAAAGGUUUGAGUCAGUUUUAAGAUUACUUUGAGGACAUGAUUUUUAACAGGACAGACUUUUCAUUCCGAGAAGAUUAAUGAAUCGUUCCUCACAAUUGUACUUGUAAUUGAAGCUUGAUGUAUUCACACAAGUUCCUCCUAGUCCACAUAUUUGUUGGAUCGUGAUCCGAG
rnacentral:lncRNA from 1 species